CCUACGGGUGGCAGCAGUGAGGAAUAUUGGGCAAUGGACGGAAGUCUGAACCAGCCAUGCCGCGUGCAGGAAGACGGCUCUAUGAGUUGUAAACUGCUUUUGUACAAGGGUAAACCUGAAUACGUGUAUUCAGCUGAAAGUACUGUACGAAUAAGGAUCGGCUAACUCCGUGCCAGCAGCCGCGGUAAUACGGAGGGUCCAAGCGUUAUCCGGAUUUAUUGGGUUUAAAGGGUGCGUAGGCGGAUUGAUAAGUUAGAGGUGAAAUGUCCGAGCUUAACUCGGGAACUGCCUCUAAUACUGUUGAUCUAGAGAGUAGAUGCGGUAGGCGGAAUGUAUGGUGUAGCGGGGAAAUGCUUAGAGAUCAGACAGAACACCGAUUGCGAAGGCAGCUUACCAAUCUAUAUCUGACGUUGAGGCACGAAAGCGUGGGGAGCAAACAGGAUUAGAUACCCGAGUAGUC
rnacentral:rRNA from 1 species